GUUUUCAUGGUGUAGUUGGUUAUCACGUUCGCUUUACAUGCGAAAGGUCUCCAGUUCGAACCUGGAUGAAAACA
rnacentral:tRNA from 1 species